rnacentral:sRNA from 1 species
UCACUAUGAAAAAAAGCAGCACUAAAUG